rnacentral:lncRNA from 1 species
UGCAGAGUGACUGGAUAAGCGUCUGGACCCGCUCAGUCGCUCAGUCUUCUUCCUGUGGACUGGUGUCAGCCACAGCCUCGACCUUGCUGACUUCCUCAGACUUCCAGCCAACCCCUCAGCCCUCUUUUCUAGAAGGUUCGCUUGGAAGUGGCUCUGAUUAUCAGACUUCCAGAGCCAGCUGCAAAGAGCACAGCGAGGAAAGCAGGUCUCCCAUGGAGGAACAAAGGCCCCGGAAGCGGCCUCGCACAGUGGCUCCUGAUCCAGGUACUGUCGCAUGCCCGUCAUCACUCUUUUUAAAUCUUUUCAUCCCACUGCC